rfam:Glycine soja cultivar W05 scaffold3688_17, whole genome shotgun sequence.
AUGUUAACGUAUGAUAUGUUAACAUCGGUUUUUGAAAAACCGAUGUUAACGUGUAUGCAUUAACAU